rnacentral:rRNA from 1 species
GUCGAGCGGUAACAGAGAGAAGCUUGCUUCUCUGCUGACGAGCGGCGGACGGGUGAGUAAUGCCUAGGAAUCUGCCUAGUAGUGGGGGAUAACUUGCCGAAAGGUAAGCUAAUACCGCAUACGUCCUACGGGAGAAAGCAGGGGACCUUCGGGCCUUGCGCUAUUAGAUGAGCCUAGGUCGGAUUAGCUAGUUGGUGAGGUAAAGGCUCACCAAGGCGACGAUCCGUAACUGGUCUGAGAGGAUGAUCAGUCGCACUGGAACUGAGACACGGUCCAGACUCCUACGGGAGGCAACAGUGGGGAAUAUUGGACAAUGGGCGGAAGCCUGAUCCAGCCAUGCCGCGUGUGUGAAGAAGGUCUUCGGAUUGUAAAGCACUUUAAUUUGGGAGGAAGGGCAGUUAACGAAUACUUAACUGUUUUGACGUUACCAAAAGAAUAAGCACCGGCUAACUUCGUGCCAGCAGCCGCGGUAAUACGAAGGGUGCAAGCGUUAAUCGGAAUUACUGGGCGUAAAGCGCGCGUAGGUGGUUCGUUAAGUUGGAAGUGAAAGCCCCGGGCUCAACCUGGGAAUUGCUUUCAAAACUGGCGAGCUAGAGUACGGUAGAGGGUGGUGGAAUUUCCUGUGUAGCGGUGAAAUGCGUA